ACACUAACCUGGAAGGGGAAAUAGCAUGAUCACGAAGGCAGUUUUCCCAGGGCAAGGCUGUCCAUUGCAUCACAGGUGUGCUGACCCCUGCGAUUUCUCCAUGUGGGAGCCUCAAGUGUGUAAUUUAUAGUGGUGGAUAGAAAAACAGACACCGGAAAUCCU